AUUUGGUCAGGAAUGGAGAAAAAAAAGACAUCCACGUUACAUAUUUAUUGACCACAUAUGUAUGUACUGAAUGUUAUAUUCCAUACCACACGCACUAGUACAGAAGGACUAAAACCACAUCCAUAAUCCUUAAAUACUAAACACUAUCUCAACUCCUAAAUACUGAAUCAUAAAUCAUAAUCCAAAUAUAAACUAUAAUUAGGUGACUGAAUGACACUAAAAUGAAUAGAUAAAAUAUAAGACUUUUCAAUAAAGAAUGCAUUCCAUAUUAACCCAAUACACAACUUUUAAAUACUAAACACAAACCAAACUUUAAAAUAUUAAACCCAAAUAAACCUUAAUUAUCAGCCCUAAACUCAAUUAUCAAAAUAUGAAAAUAUUAUAAUAUUAAACUAAAUCCAGGCCUAACUUUUAAAUAGUGUAGGGCUCUAACCCAACACACAACUUCUAAAUCCUGAUUACAGACCUAACUUUUGAAUACUAAACCCUAAACUGCUAUCACUAAACCCAAACCUCAACUUAUAUUUUUCAAAUACUAAACCCUAAAUCCUGAUUACUAAACUCUAAACCCAAAUAGAAUGGAACAAAAUACAUAGUAUAAUACAUAUUGGGAACAAAAUAGAACACUCUUUAUUAAUCGAGAAAUGGAACGAUAAUGAUAGGGUCACUAAACUCAAACCUCAACCCUACCUUCUAAAUACUAAACCCUAAAUCUUAAUCAUUAAACCUUAAACCCAAGUAUAAACCCUAAACCCAAAUAUAAUGGAACAAAAUACCAUAUUUCUCAAAUGUUGAUAUGGCUAUGCCUUCAUGGAAGGUGGUAAUGUUUGCUUCAAUGUCAAUCCCAAUCGUACAUACACUAAACCCAAUCAACUAAUCAUUAAACUCAAUCAACUAAUCACUAAUCAAUAAAUAGAAUAGUACAAACUGACCAAAUAAACCUUAAUUAUCAGCCCUAAACUCAAUUAUCAAAAUAUGAAAAUAUUAUAAUAUUAAACUAAAUCCAGGCCUAACUUUUAAAUAGUGUAGGGCUCUAACCCAACACACAACUUCUAAAUCCUGAUUACAGACCUAACUUUUGAAUACUAAACCCUAAACUGCUAUCACUAAACCCAAACCUCAACUUAUAUUUUUCAAAUACUAAACCCUAAAUCCUGAUUACUAAACUCUAAACCCAAAUAGAAUGGAACAAAAUACAUAGUAUAAUACAUAUUGGGAACAAAAUAGAACACUCUUUAUUAAUCGAGAAAUGGAACGAUAAUGAUAGGGUCACUAAACUCAAACCUCAACCCUACCUUCUAAAUACUAAACCCUAAAUCUUAAUCAUUAAACCUUAAACCCAAGUAUAAACCCUAAACCCAAAUAUAAUGGAACAAAAUACCAUAUUUCUCAAAUGUUGAUAUGGCUAUGCCUUCAUGGAAGGUGGUAAUGUUUGCUUCAAUGUCAAUCCCAAUCGUACAUACACUAAACCCAAUCAACUAAUCAUUAAACUCAAUCAACUAAUCACUAAUCAAUAAAUAGAAUAGUACAAACUGAUGAAAUUAUGAAAUGUUUAUGAUUGCAUGUAAGAAGUUAAUGCUGAUCUCAACCCCAACUACCAACUAUUAAAUACUAAACUCUAAACUCUAAAUCCUAAUUACUAAACCCAGGCCUAACUUUUAAAUAGUGUAGGGCUCUAACCCAACACACAACUUCUAAAUCCUGAUUACAGACCUAACUUUUGAAUACUAAACCCUAAACUGCUAUCACUAAACCCAAACCUCAACUUAUAUUUUUCAAAUACUAAACCCUAAAUCCUGAUUACUAAACUCUAAACCCAAAUAGAAUGGAACAAAAUACAUAGUAUAAUACAUAUUGGGAACAAAAUAGAACACUCUUUAUUAAUCGAGAAAUGGAACGAUAAUGAUAGGGUCACUAAACUCAAACCUCAACCCUACCUUCUAAAUACUAAACCCUAAAUCUUAAUCAUUAAACCUUAAAUCCAAGUAUAAACUCUAAACCCAAAUAGAAUGGAACAAAAAACCAUAUUUCUCAAAUGUUGAUAUGGCUAUGCCAUGGAAGGUGGUAAUGUUUGCUUCAAUGUCAAUUUCAAUCGUACAUAAACUAAACCCAAUCAACUAAUCAUUAAACCCAAUCAACUAAUCACUAAUCAAUAAAUAGAAUAGUACAAACUGAUGAAAUUAUGAAAUGUUUAUGAUUGCAUGUAAGAAGUUAAUGCUGAUCUCAACCCCAACUACCAACUAUUAAAUACUAAACUCUAAACUCUAAAUCCUAAUUACUAAACCCUAAACCUAAAUAAAUAGAUU
rnacentral:lncRNA from 1 species